rnacentral:piRNA from 1 species
UGGGACACUUUCUUCUUGCUUCCUUAUGGG